rnacentral:rRNA from 1 species
UACGGAGGGGGCUAGCGUUGUUCGGAAUUACUGGGCGUAAAGCGCGCGUAGGCGGCUUUGUAAGUUAGAGGUGAAAGCCCGGAGCUCAACUCCGGAAUUGCCUUUAAGACUGCAUCGCUAGAAUCAUGGAGAGGUGAGUGGAAUUCCGAGUGUAGAGGUGAAAUUCGUAGAUAUUCGGAAGAACACCAGCGGCGAAAGCGCUCUACUGGGCCGCAACUGACACUCAUGGACGAAAGCUAGGGGAGCGAAAGGG